CUAAUGAGAAGAGGAGGUGAGAGUAAACUGAAAUUACUGUUCCUUGGGGACAGUGAUUGAAAGAAGUGGAGGUGAGAGAAGUGGAGGUGAGAGUAAACUGAAAUCACUGUUCCUUGGGGACAGUGAUUGAAAGAAGUGGAGGUGAGAAGAGGAGGUGAGAGAAGUGGAGGUGAGAGUAAACUGAAAUCACUGUUCCUUGGGGACAGUGAUUGAAGUGUGAGAGGGAGUCGUGCGAAGACCAAGAUGCGAGGGGUUGAGGAAUUGGCGGUGAGAAAGUACCGAGGAAGUCGUGCGAUGACCAAGAGGGAUGGAUUGAGAGUGGAGUAUUGAGAGUGAAUGUGAGCAGUGUGUAAAAAAUUUUGUGCAGAAAAUUUCUUGAGUGUGUUUGUGUUUGUGUUUGUGUUUGUGUUUGUUUGUGCGUGUUUGUGUUUGUUUGUGCGUGUUUGUAUUUGUUUGUGCUUGUGUCUGUAUUUGUGUUUGUGUCCGUAUGCCUGUGUUUGUGUUUGUGCGCAGUGCGCUUUUGUGUUUUGUAUUGGCCGAGGGUCGUGUCUUGGCAAAACCUAUUAAAAGGCCUUCAUUUUGCUUCUAUAUGAAUUCUCGGGUCCUUAAAAUACCCCCCCAGUUGUUUCGUUAGGAAAUUCCAGGAAUUUGAAUUUUGGGAGGCAUUCCAAAGAUGCACAGUCGCAGUAUGCGCGAGAAAUGAAUACAAGAGAGGAAAUUGUGAGAGAGUGAGAAGUGGAGGGAAGAAAAAUUAGGAAAGGCAGGGGAUAUAAAUAUUUUGGAAGGGAUGUUGGAAGGGAAGUUGGAACAGUAGUUUUGUUUUAAAGGUCUUUUAAAUCUUUUUGUUGGGCCUUUUGAUGGUUGGUUGGUGGCGCGCAGUAGUGGCGAAUUUCCCGG
rnacentral:misc_RNA from 1 species